rnacentral:rRNA from 1 species
AGCAGCCGCGGUAAUUCCAGCUCCAAUAGCGUAUAUUAAAGUUGUUGCAGUUAAAAAGCUCGUAGUUGAACUUCGGGAUCAAUGGAUUGGUCAUGCCGAUGGUAUGAACUGGUCAUAUUGGUUCUCACCUUCUAAGGAACCAUAAUGUCAUUUAUUUGAUGUUGUGGGGAAUUAGGACUGUUACCUUGAAAAAUUAGAGUGUUUAAAGCAGGCUAACGCUUGAAUACAUUAGCAUGGAAUAAUGAAAUAGGACAUCGCAUUCUAUUUUGUUGGUUUCUAGGAUCGAUGUAAUGAUUAAUAGGGAUAGUUGGGGCAUUAGUAUUCAAUUGUCAGAGGUGAAAUUCUUGGAUUUAUUGAAGACUUAACUACUGCGAAAGCA